rnacentral:rRNA from 1 species
GACGAACGCUGGCGGCGUGCUUAACACAUGCAAGUCGAACGGUAAGGCCCUUCGGGGUACACGAGUGGCGAACGGGUGAGUAACACGUGGGUGAUCUGCCCUGCACUUCGGGAUAAGCCUGGGAAACUGGGUCUAAUACCGGAUAGGACUCCUGGCUUCAUGGUUGGGGGUGGAAAGCUUUUGCGGUGUGGGAUGGGCCCGCGGGCUAUCAGCUUGUUGGUGGGGUAAUGGCCUACCAAGGCGAGGACGGGUAGCCGGCCUGAGAGGGUGAGGGGUCACACUGGGACUGAGAUACGGCCCAGACUCAUACGGGAGGCAGCAGUGGGGAAUAUUGCACAAUGGGCGCAAGCCUGAUGCAGCGACGCCGCGUGAGGGAUGACGGCCUUCGGGUUGUAAACCUCUUUCAGCUAUGACGAAGCGCAAGUGACGGUAGUAGCAGAAGAAGGACCGGCCAACUACGUGCCAGCCGCCGCGGUAA